rnacentral:rRNA from 1 species
AGAGUUUGAUCAUGGCUCAGAGCGAACGCUGGCGGCAGGCUUAACACAUGCAAGUCGAGCGGGUGUAGCAAUACAUCAGCGGCAGACGGGUGAGUAACGCGUGGGAACGUACCUUUUGGUUCGGAACAACCCAGGGAAACUUGGGCUAAUACCGGAUAAGCCCUUACGGGGAAAGAUUUAUCGCCGAAAGAUCGGCCCGCGUCUGAUUAGCUAGUUGGUGAGGUAAUGGCUCACCAAGGCGACGAUCAGUAGCUGGUCUGAGAGGAUGAUCAGCCACAUUGGGACUGAGACACGGCCCAAACUCCUACGGGAGGCAGCAGUGGGGAAUAUUGGACAAUGGGGGCAACCCUGAUCCAGCCAUGCCGCGUGAGUGAUGAAGGCCCUAGGGUUGUAAAGCUCUUUUGUGCGGGAAGAUAAUGACGGUACCGCAAGAAUAAGCCCCGGCUAACUUCGUGCCAGCAGCCGCGGUAAUACGAAGGGGGCUAGCGUUGCUCGGAAUCACUGGGCGUAAAGGGUGCGUAGGCGGGUCUUUAAGUCAGGGGUGAAAUCCUGGAGCUCAACUCCAGAACUGCCUUUGAUACUGAGGAUCUUGAGUCCGGGAGAGGUGAGUGGAACUGCGAGUGUAGAGGUGAAAUUCGUAGAUAUUCGCAAGAACACCAGUGGCGAAGGCGGCUCACUGGCCCGGUACUGACGCUGAGGCACGAAAGCGUGGGGAGCAAACAGGAUUAGAUACCCUAGUAGUCC